CCCUUAGAUGUCCUGGGCCGCACGCGUGCUACACUGACGCAUACAGCGAGCACUUUCCAGUUCCGAGAGGCUACUGGUAAUCAUCAAUAUGCGUCGUGAUGGGGAUAGAUCUUUGGAAUUCUGGAUCUUGAACGAGGAAUGCCUAGUAAUCGCAGGUCAUUAGCCUGCGAUGAUUAAGUCCCUGCCCUUUGUACACACCGCCCGUCGCUACUACCGAUUUCGAGUGGUCAGGUGAAUCUUUCGGACUGUGGGCGCCCUUGGGGUGUUCGCGGAAAGUCAGGUAAAUCUUAUCACUUAGAGGAAGUAAAAGUCGUAACA
rnacentral:rRNA from 1 species